CCACACAGAUUCGGUUAUAGUCUGUUAGGGUUGUCGUGUCUUCCCCUAAUCCCGAAGACACGAAGAUUGUCAGCAAAACGGCUAACAGGAAAGUUCGCUCCAUCUUAACUGCGGAAACAGGACAUAAAAAUAUGGGGCUCAGUCCAAGAGGCGCUUCGCGGGAACUCCGCUAAAACUAGAAAAACUACAGACAAGCUGUAAAAAAACUAGAUUGUCUGCAUAGGCGUGGGGUAGACAAGGUAUAAAUCAACACAGGGUUGAAAAGGUAUGGCAAAAAUGAGAAAAAAUCCCAAAGAAAAAUCCUGGGUACGGGUCUGUUUUUAUAUGGCAUCUUUGAAAACCCAGCUAAACCCCCACGCCCUCCCCCUUAAUUCGCUAAUGUAGCCAAUCUUGUAACGUAUCAACUACCCUAGCCUACUAUCGAUACUUUCCUUUAUCCCCGUUCAAUUCAUAAAGCAAAUACUAUUUUAUAAGUCUGUUUAUAUACGGUAAAGGUGUUGCCUUUGGUUAUGGUCCAGUACAGCAAGUUAUAAAAAAAAAAUAAGUCCAAACUGUUUCAUCAACUUUAUUAUCCAGAAAAUGACAACCAAAUAACACUCAGUAUGUAAGACAAGACUGCUCUCAAACAACAACAGAAGACGCAAUAUCCUGAAUAUACCAACAUUCAAAUUCUAACCAAACCAAACUUAUUCCAAAAAAUAUAUUUACAAAAACUUGAAAUUAGAGAAGAAAGGAAUAAAAGACUUCU